rnacentral:ncRNA from 1 species
GAUUAACUAUCGCCGGAUAGACAGUGAUCCAACGAUUCCGUAGGCCAAUGUGGAAUCGUUUGGGGACACUGUCUUUUU